rnacentral:tRNA from 2 species
GCCGGAGUGGUGGAAUUGGUAGACACGCCGGAUUCAAAAUCCGGUGCUAGCAAUAGCGUGUCGGUUCAAGUCCGACCUUCGGUACCA